UAGGAAAGCAGAAAUGGAAAGCAAAACGUCUCACUCCUAGACAUGUGAGUUGGCUUCCUGGCCAAUGGAAAAGGAUAAACAAUGAGGCAGGGCCUGUGACCUUGUGGGUGAAACUGGGCAUGAAUGCAACUCUCUGAAUCCACGGCGAGCCUGGAGAGCUUAGCUUAGAAAUGGACAGAAACGAAGGGCAGGCGAGUGAAGCGGAGCUGACGUUGCACCUGAGGAACAGCCUUUGGAAAGAGCUGCUGCCUGGCAGCCGGUCACCACAGAACACUGGAACCACCACUGCUCCCCCAGCCUGGUAACAGCGGGUCCAGUGUUCCAGCCUGGGCAGUGUCCAGCUGGCAGGGCUGAGGUGGUUGCGCCCACAUCUCAGGCUGCAUGGUCCAGCGAGCUCAGGUGUUUGAUCUUUUUUCGUUACCAUGGUGAGAAGUGUGCUAGCGGGGAAAAAAGACAAAUGUAUCCCAUAGAUGAGUAUAUAUGGGGGCGAGGGGUUCUCCAUGAAAUGGUCCUCAUUGAUUUUUUUGUUUCAUUUGUUUUUAUGUUUUAUCUUGAUGGAGAAUUUGUGAUUUUCCUUCUCAGAAAAAUAGAGCUAUACUUACAUUUCAUAAUUUAUACUGCUGAUUUAUGCCACUGCGUUUUGACAGUUGUAUCAUAUCACCCAGCCUUCUCUUCUCCAGGAAGUGGUGUAUUCAUGGGUCCCCUGAGAUUCCAGCACUGCUUAUGAUGAGUGUAGAAAUUCUGUCUUGUCUGUCUUGCAGAAUGACAGAUUAGAAUAUGGCAUAGAUUCUUAAUGCUGUCUGUUGGGAAAACAAUAUUCUAAAGAUGAUUAGAAAGACAGUUUUAAUAUUAUGUGGAAUUCUGUUAUUACAUAUUACCAUUUAGAAAUACUACAGAGAAUUUAUAAUGAAAGCAUAAAAUAAUUGAAUGAGGUUUUUAAUAGUCCAUUAGAAAAUUGUUGAAAAUUUUUUCCUAAUUCCUUUAAGGGAAUUUUAUUAUAAUUGUCUUGAUUGUUGUUUCAAUCAAAUGGCAGUAGUGAAAAGGGCGAAAUUAUCAAGGCAGGGGGUAGGAGGAGGAGGCGCUGGGUAGGAUGCUCUGAUUUCUUAAGAAGAAUAGGAUAGCUGUAAAGAAACCAGACAUGAUUGCUUGAGAAUUUUCCUUUCAAAAUGAUAAUAUCACACUUUAUAUCAUUUAUGUAGCAUUUUUCCUAAUUUGACUUUUUAUCUGGCCAUGACUUUUAAAUUCAGUUAUAAAUAUUAAUUGCCUGAAGUGUUAUAAAAUCCAUUUUUAUUUGAGAGAUACUCACAAGCAAAAUUAUAUGCUGCAUUUCUCGUCUUAGCACUUCACUCUGAAGUGCAUACUUAAUGGUAGUUCAUUUUAGGUAUGUUAUUGAUUGGAUUACAUUUUUAAAAUGCAAAUGAGUAAGUGCGUUUAUGGAUGGCUGGGUUUUAUUUCUUUGCCAGUAUUUCUUCCUGGUAUCCUGAAGUUUCUCCUCAUGUGAAGUAUACAAUUAAGCAUUCCUGUCAUACUUAAAUUAAUUAGACCUUUUAUUCACUAGCAUUGCCACCCCAGAGGAACAGAGUGGUGCAGAGGAGUUCAUCAGCAAAAUAUACACUAAACAAUAAAAAAAAAAAACCUUUUUCUCUAAUUCUUUUGAAACAAAACAUCCAAAUAAUAAAAUAGUUUCUAGGUAGUUGUCUAUCUUCAUGAUCAUGUUAUAAAAGAUAUAAUCCUUAUAAAAAUAAGUUCAUAUUGUUUCAAAAAUUGUAUGUGAUUAUAAUUCAGUGAAAUUUGGGAAACCAGAAUGGCUUUGUCAUGAUUACCUAUUUUCUUAUGUACAGAUAAAAUUAAAUUCUGUCUCUGUGUUUACUGCA